UGGGGAAUUUUGGACAAUGGGCGAAAGCCUGAUCCAGCAAUGCCGCGUGUGUGAAGAAGGCCUUCGGGUUGUAAAGCACUUUUGUCCGGAAAGAAAUCCUUGGCUCUAAUACAGUCGGGGGAUGACGGUACCGGAAGAAUAAGCACCGGCUAACUACGUGCCAGCAGCCGCGGUAAUACGUAGGGUGCAAGCGUUAAUCGGAAUUACUGGGCGUAAAGCGUGCGCAGGCGGUUUGCUAAGACCGAUGUGAAAUCCCCGGGCUCAACCUGGGAACUGCAUUGGUGACUGGCAGGCUAGAGUAUGGCAGAGGGGGGUAGAAUUCCACGUGUAGCAGUGAAAUGCGUAGAGAUGUGGAGGAAUACCGAUGGCGAAGGCAGCCCCCUGGGCCAAUACUGACGCUCAUGCACGAAAGCGUGGGGAGCAAACAGGAUUAGAUACCCUGGUAGUCCACGCCCUAAACGAUGCCAACUAGUUGUUGGGGAUUCAUUUUCCUUAGUAACGUAGCUAACGCGUGAAGUUGACCGCCUGGGGAGUACGGUCGCAAGAUUAAAACUCAAAGGAAUUGACGGGGUCAUAGCUG
rnacentral:rRNA from 1 species